CGAGGGCGUGGUGUACAAAAUGGGGCGGGACUUUAGAGAGGAAAGGCUUAAAAAUUUGCAUCCGGAUUUUGGCGCCAAUGUUUGGUAUUUAUACUUACUGAAUACAGUUGAAGAAAAAUCUGAGUCUUGAAAAGAAGAAACAAAAUGCCCAAGACACAGAUAACAGCAGAAACCAGAUUCAAACCAGGUUCUGCUUUGCUCCCAUCAAGAAAGUCCUGCUUUGCCUCCUGCAUCAUACAAACGGAUCCCUAAAAGCCUUUCCUGGCUUCCUGAUAAACCUGCAGAUGAGGAGAAUCAACAAGCUUUCUUCCCGCAUUCACCCAGCGUGUUAGAAGGAUACCAAAGGCUCGCUGCUGGGCCUGUAUCC